rnacentral:rRNA from 1 species
AAAAAUGAUUAAAAGGGGUCUGAAUGUGCCCGAUCUCAUCUGACUUUGAAAACUAAACAGGGUCGGGCCUGGUUAGUACUUGGAUGGGAGAUCACCUAGGAAGACCAGGUGCUGUAGGCA